AUCCUGGGUUGUGCAGUGGGCUAGUAUGUCUGGCUCUUAACCAGAAGGUUGGCGGUUUGAGCCCACCCUGGGAUG